UUUCGCAAUGCCCGAAAGGGUGACGAAGCGACGCCGCGUGUGGGAAGAAGGCCUUCGGGUUGUAAACCACUGUCGGGAGUUAAGAAAUGCAAGGAUAUGAAUAGUGUCUUUGCUUGACUAAGGCUCCGGAGGAAGCCACGGCUAACUCUGUGCCAGCAGCCGCGGUAAUACAGAGGCGGCAAGCGUUGUUCGGAAUUAUUGGGCGUAAAGAGCACGUAGGCGGCUAUGUAAGUCGGUUGUGAAAGCCUUCCGCUCAACGGAAGAACAGCAUCCGAUACUACAUGGCUUGAGUGCGGGAGGGGAGAGUGGAACUUCUGGUGGAGCGGUGAAAUGCGUAGAUAUCAGAAGGAACGCCGGCGGCGAAAGCGGCUCUCUGGCCCAUAACUGACGCUGAGUGUGCGAAAGCUAGGGGAGCAAACGGGAUUAGAUACCCCGGUAGUCCUAGCCGUAAACGAUGGGCACUAAGUAGAGGGGUUUU
rnacentral:rRNA from 1 species